rnacentral:rRNA from 1 species
UACGGAGGGGCUAGCGUUGUUCGGAAUUACUGGGCGUAAAGCGCGCGUAGGUGGUUUGUUAAGUUGGAUGUGAAAUCCCCGGGCUCAACCUGGGAACUGCAUUCAAACUGACAAGCUAGAGUAUGGUAGAGGGUGGUGGAAUUUCCUGUGUAGCGGUGAAAUGCGUAGAUAUAGGAAGGAACACCAGUGGCGAAGGCGACCACCUGGGACUGAUACUGACACUGAGGUGCGAAAGCGUGGGGAGCAAACAGG